AGGAUAUUAGUUUAAACUAAAACAAUUAAAUUGCAUUUAAUAAAUAUUAAUAAAAAUAUAUCUUA
rnacentral:tRNA from 1 species